UGUAUACGUGAGAGAACAGAAAGUCUGGAGUUGUUAAGCAAUUGGCCACUCCACUAAAGUAGACUGGAGUGGAGCCUGAACUCACCAGUAGAGUUUUUCUAAUGGCAAAGCCUGUGCUUUCUGUGACUACGAUACAGAGGCCUGUUGAUGAAGGCCUCUCCUCAUGGUCAUUGCUACAGGAAGGGAUGGUCUUGGGGCUGUUCCCUCCCAUCCUUGUCCAAGCAUAGCUUUUUCUACUCCUGAGAGUCCUCAGACUGGCCUGACCUAUAGUUAGAUGGCAGGACCUCUGAGGCAACUAUUCCUGUACCCUCAGACAUCAGGCUCCAAAGUCUUUCAUAAAAGCAGCUCUUAGUCUUCCUCUAAUUCUUUCCUGUCUCCUUCCUAUAAGCCCCAGGACUUAAAAAGAAACAAACAACCUGGCAAAAAAAAAAAGCUUUCCCUUUGCUGCCUCAGUCUAAAAUUAAUUCUGUAGUGAAAAUAGACAUCUAGCUCAUAAGAUCAGAAAACAGCAAGACCCUGAAAUUCCAUUUCGGACCCAGCUGGGGCGUUUUUCUCUUACAAGUGAAACUCUCUCCACGUGUGUCUUCCACACAGCGAAGUAAUGGCAAACCCAGGGCAACAACCUGAACAUUUAGAUCCCAUGGGACAAGUAAAACCACCAGGAGAAGGGGAAUGAACUCCAAGAAACUAAAUGUCCGUCAGAUGUCAUGUUGACUCGCUCUGCUUUCACCUGUGAAGAUGCUGAUAUUAUACAAGGUCCCUCAUCUGCAGUGCAAGUGGGCACACACAGUCAAGACUCCAUCCAUCCUGUGCAGCGUUCUGAACCUUGGGGGACCAACUCACAAUGAAUUUUCAGCUUUGGUUGUCUCCUGCUACUUGGUUCAAUGAUCUCUGUCCAACCCCACAGCACAUUCCGGCAUUUGCACUGUGCCGUGGACGCCGCUGCAUUGUGCAUGCUCCAGGCUAUGUUUGUGGACAGUCACGUCGCCGCGGAAGUCAAGCUCAUUUGUCAUCCUUGCUAGGCACUUGCAGGGCUGCCUGAAGAGAAAAAUAUCUGAAAGCAGGCAGUGACGAAGGUAAAGAAGAGACUCAGGAGUGGAAGGGCAGAAGGGGGCUGUGGGGGUGGAUGUACGGAACCAGGCAUAUCUGAGUCCCUGGAAGGACAGGCUCCUGCGUCAUAAUUCUGCUUCUGAUGGGAGGCCUUCGCAGUGACAAACCUGGGCCUUCUGGCUCUCCGUAUGUCUUAGACCUCAUUUUGAAACAGGUUAUUGCAGUAAUGGCCCCCGAUUUGUCCACAUCUCCCCGUAUCCACACCCUUAGGUAAUCCUUUCCACACUGACUCGGAGCUGGGAUGGUAGCAAAUACGAUUCAAGCAGAGACUUGAAAAGGGCUUGUGGGUUGGGGCUUACUUACUUGUUUCUCUUGGAACUCCGUGACUCUCAUGUGAAUAAGCCUGGAAUAAACUCCUCUAAAAUGAGAGACCACAUAGAGAGAGAGGCCCUUAUCAUCCCAGCCAUCCCAUCCGAAGCCUUCAUAAACCAGCCAACUCUAGACAACUCAUCAGUCUCAGCAAUAAACCCAGUUAGGAACAGCCAGGCCAGGCCCAGAGCAGAAGAAUUGCCCAGUUGAGCUCAGCUCCAAGGUACUGAGCUGCACACUUGUGUGCUGAAUAAGUGACAUGGUGCGUUACAAGGCAAAAGAUAACUGAUAAAUGCCUUAAUACUUGGCUUGCCUAUCCAUUUCAGAAAUAAUUCCAAUUCAGUCUUUCAUGAAUGUUUUCACGGUUUCAUUUGGAAAAUUCUGCUCUAAAAAUUAUAAAGGGGUGAAAAUAUAAGGCAACUUAGUAUACUAUCACCAUUUGAGAAGGGUAUUUUCUAAAACAGUCUCUCCUAGUAACUUUCAGAGGUAUUUGUGAGGUGAAAUGAGAGUGGGGAAGAGACUUCUAAAAUCACGUUGCUAAAAGAAAGUGGCAUCGCUUAGCAGCAACAUUUCAAAACCAGAGAAUCUUCAAAUAUUCUAGCUUAUCCACAUAUUUGUGUAUCACAAAUGUGAUAUGAUGGACAUUUUCACUGUUGCAGGAAAAUCAGCCCUGACUCUCUUGUCUCGUACUUAAAUAUGAUUCUUAAUGGACCUACAUUUCAAACUCCUGGAUCCCUUCUCAAGCUCCAAGUGCCUUAAGUUUGAGUUGACGUGGCGAGUGUGGGAGAAAGUAAGAAACAUUAAAUACUUGCAAUUUACACUUUGGGAGUUUCCAAAAUUCAACUCAUUCAUUUUUUUUUCCAGCAAAUAUUUUAUUGAGUGUCUGGUCACCACCUUGUGUGCUGCUCUGAAAACCUGCUAUAACUGCACAAAGGUGGCAGAGCACAUUGCUCUUAAUUCCCAUGGCUUUCUUGGGAAACUGUACACUACCACUGCAGUCACAAUAUGGUCUUCCUCUCUUCCCAGCCACCCCCACCAUAAAGCUACCUGAAAUAAGGGCACAUUACAUAUUUUCUGAUGGUCUUUCCUCUGUAGAGAAAUGUAGAUCCUGGAUAAAGACCCUUGGCAAGGACCUUUUUCCUCUGCCUGAUAUUUGUAUUCAAGCAAAAUAAUGAUAGUAAGAGUAAGCAUUUAGAAAGUGUUGACUAUGUAGCCUAGCACUGCUCCGACACUUUACGUUUAUUAAUAGACGACUGAGGCUAGCUUUGAUCAAUAAAAUCACGUGAGUAGGCACAUUUGCCACUCGGUGGUACAAGAAGGAGUCCCUAUGGCAUCGCAUGACUGUCCAUGGAGUUUCCAGAGAGGUGAUAACUGAUGCUGUGAACUCCUGGUUUCCAGGAAACGGCUCUAAGCUUGUCUCUAAGGUAUCUAAACAAAUAUUUUAUUAUCUUCUGGGAAUUCUGAUCCUGCAACCUAAAUCAAAGAUCCCAAACACUAAAUCAAAUUUUUGUGGCCUUCAAAGCUUAAUAUGAAAAUUACCAGUGAUGUUUUUCUUCCCCCAUAAUAUGACAUUAGGAGCUUAGUAAUGCAUAUCUAGAUGUGAGUUGACAUUUACACUUGUUAUUUGUUGGGAAGGAUGAGUAUGCUUCAUAAUUUAUAUGUAUCAAAUAUCUUCAUUUGUGUAAAUCAAAGAGUUACUAAUAAAAAUGCUAAGAGAAGCUGGA
rnacentral:lncRNA from 1 species